rnacentral:rRNA from 1 species
GACGCUGGCGGCGUGCUUAACACAUGCAAGUCGAACGAUGAAGAGCAGCUUGCUGCUUGGAUUAGUGGCGCACGGGUGAGUAAUAUAUAGGUAAUGUGCCUCUUAGUCUGGGAUAGCCAUUGGAAACGAUGAUUAAUACUGGAUACUCCUUCUAACUCUAAUGUUAGUCGGGAAAGUUUUUCGCUAAGAGAUCAGCCUAUAUCCCAUCAGUUAGUUGGUAAGGUAACGGCUUACCAAGGCAAUGACGGGUAGCGGGUUUGAGAGGAUGAUCCGCCACACUGGUACUGAGACACGGACCAGACUCCUACGGGAGGCAGCAGUGAGGAAUAUUGCACAAUGGGGGAAACCCUGAUGCAGCAACGCCGCGUGGAGGAUGACGCAUUUCGGUGUGUAAACUCCUUUUAUAUGUCAAGAAAAUGACGGUAGCAUAUGAAUAAGCACCGGCUAACUCCGUGCCAGCAGCCGCGGUAAUACGGAGGGUGCAAGCGUUACUCGGAAUCACUGGGCGUAAAGGACGCGUAGGCGGAUUGGAAAGUCAGAUGUGAAAUCCUACAGCUUAACUGUAGAACUGCAUUUGAAACUUCUAAUCUAGAGUAUGGGAGGGGGAGAUGGAAUUAGUGGUGUAGGGGUAAAAUCCGUAGAUAUCACUAGGAAUACCGAAAGCGAAGGCGAUCUCCUGGAACAUUACUGACGCUAAGGCGUGAAAGCGUGGGGAGCAAACAGGAUUAGAUACCCUGGUAGUCCACGCCCUAAACGAUGAACACUAGUCGUCGGGAUGCUUGUCAUCUCGGUGAUGCACUUAACAGAUUAAGUGUUCCGCCUGGGGAGUACGGUC